CCAGGGCGGGGGCGGAGCGCUGCGCCGAACCGGGCACGCCUGCUAGAGAAGAGCAAGGGCGGCUGCGCGACCGCUUCUCUGACGCCUGCCGUUUCCUUGCAGAACCCGCCUCCUUUUACAUGUUGGCCCCGCCUCUUCCCCGUCGCCUGGCAACAGGAUGAGCGGAGGCAGCUGCCAGUUUGUUCCCGACCCGCCCUCGCCGGUCGACCCCGGGGCCGGCCCAGUGGCGGGAGGCGGGGUGGGGCGCGGCGGUUACACCUAGCAGGGAACGCCCCUCUCCCUACAGUGGAGACGACCCCACUCGCGGACCGGUAGGACCUGCACCUAACCAAGUUAUUUACAGGGAGCCUCCUUUCAUCACCUAGAGUCCUUUGGGAUUCAGAGUCAGCCAGUUCAGAAACUGCGGAGCGCCCUCUAAGAAAUACUGUGAGACCUAGACUCACCCCUUGAGCCUUACCGAAUGACCCUAACUAAAUAAAAAAUGAGGACUCUUCUUUCAUCCCCAUCCCACCCCCAUUUGGUCUUUUAUAAGAAAUACAGUCAAAUGCCUGAGGUCACAGAGACGCCGGAUGUGAAGUUUGGAGAACUAUAAUCACCACCCUCCUAAGGGGUUAAGAUGUAGGAGUGAACUUGGAACUUUUUCUCUUUGCAUCCUGAACAUGAAAGGGAAACCUCGCUAAAGUGGACUAGCAACGCUAAGAGAGGCUAGGGAGCCUUAGCACUCAGUGUCAAUUACAGGAAGAAUUCUCAAUUAUAAGCCUAACAGAAGAAUCUCAACAGGAAAGAAUCAUCAAUUACAGGCCCCCAACCAGGGAAGAGGGACGUUGCAUCUCCUGCAAGAAAUCAACUACCCCUCAGCUGAUAAGGGGUAUUUUAUCAUCACCCUGAACUCUCCUCUCCAACUGACGUUUGUUCAAACCGGAAGUCAUAAGAUAAUGCCCCCUGGCUUUUGUUUGUGGUCUUGCCUAGGGUUUUGGUUUUGAGGUAGCUUGCUUGUCCCAUUUGCAAUCCUCUACUGUUCCCAAAUAAACCCAUCUUUUGCUGGUAAAAUAACUGGCAAUUUUUAAGGGUAACAGCUUCACAAAUAAAUAAUGCCUCUGACGACUUUCACUUAAUUCCUGUACCAUUUUAGUAACUUUUUGUACAUAGUCACCCAAUUUUUUUUAAGGUUAAGGUUUGCCUUUGCAAGUAGAAUGCCUGG